AAACACAAAACACGGAGGACGAGGCGUGCACGAACGUUCCCGCACACCGCACACUGGCCACGCACUCCACAGGGCCCAGGCGCACGCCGCGCACGGGGACACGCGAGGACGCACGCCCGGGCGAGGGAUGCUGCAGGCGGGGGUCGCGCACCCCCCGAGAGGGGCAGUAACACCAAGUGGGGUCACCCAACCGGCCGGGGGCGCCCGCGCCGUCGCUGGGAAGAUCCCGCCCGGACCCCAAAGGGCUGGAGGCGAGCCACGGGCGCGUGCCUGCGCGCUGCGGCCGGAGGACCCCUCGCCGAGCAGCGGUGUCGCCCUCAAGACGAGGGUGCGCGGGCGGCCAGGGGAUGCGCACACACGGGGGCCACUCCCACCCUCGCACAGAUGCCCGAGGGGCCCACGCUGGCAGAAGGGGGACACCAGACAAAAGGGACACACCCACUCGGGCCGACAAAGGCGGCCACACCCCCAGCGCACCGGCAUCCCAGCCCACGCACCCCAUCCCACGCAAACACGCCGCGGGCACCCCAGCGAGCGACGCGCACACACCCACACUCACCACACACCCACGGAGAGGACCUGGCGGGCCGCUCUUCCCGGGCAUCUCGGCUUCUGUGCGACACGGUGGCACAUCCAGGAGCCCUGCCGCGCGCCAGCGGUGCACUCACCCGGGCCCGCCGACCGCAAGCCUCGGUCGCGGGCCGCCGACGCCACCGCUGCCGCCUGCGGCCCUCCACGUCAGCCAGCGCGAGCGGCAGCUGGCAGCGGCGCGGGCGGCAGCGCGUCACGUGGGCGGCAGCGCACAUGCGCAGUCGCUCCGCCCCGCCCCCUCCUCCGCGGCGGCGGCGGGCGAGCGAUCCCGCGGGACCCCGCGCUCUCGAGCUCCGGCCGGACCAGGCUCGCGGUGCGCCUGCGCCCGGACGGGAGGCGCCGUCGCCCCUCGGCUCCUCGCUCGGCUUCUCCUCUCUCGCCGUUGCGGCUGCCGGGCCGGCGCUUGCGCAGGGGACUCCUCGCUGACUGGCCGCGCUGUUGGGAGGGGCCUGAGUGGGCGCCGGAAGGAGCCCAGGUCGAGGACCACCUUGACCUCAUUGUCUCCAAGGGAAAAUGGUGGAAAAUUCACCGUCGCCGUUGCCAGAAAGAGCGAUUUAUGGCUUUGUUCUUUUCUUAAGCUCCCAAUUUGGCUUCAGUACUGGGCAGUUGCAUUGCCCGUCUACCUCCUCAUUACUAUAGUAAUCGGGUAUGUACUCCUAUUUGGAGUAAACAUGAUGAGCACCUCGCCACUCAACUCCAUUCAUACAGUCACAGAUAACUAUGCUAAAAAUCAGC